rnacentral:rRNA from 1 species
CACUUCUAAGGAAGGCAGCAGGCGCGCAAAUUACCCAAUCCUGACUCAGGGAGGUAGUGACAAGAAAUAACAAUAAACCGGCUUAUGCCGGUUUAAUUGGAAUGAGUACAAUUUAAACAUCUUAACGAGGAACAAUUGGAGGGCAAGUCUGGUGCCAGCAGCCGCGGUAAUUCCAGCUCCAAUAGCGUAUACUAAAGUUGUUGCAGUUAAAAAGCUCGUAGUUGGAUUUCUGUGGGGACGGAGCGGCCGGCCGCAACUCGCGGUUCGAGCUAGCGCUUUCCCUACAUCCUGCCGCGAACCGUGCUACCAUUAAUUUGGUGGCGCCGGGGAUCGGCUCGAUUACUUUGAGAAAAAUAGAGUGUUCAAAGCAGGCCACACGCCUUGAAUAAGUUAGCAUGGAAUAAUAACUAAGGACUUCGGUUCUAUUUUGUUGGUGUUCGGGACUGAAGUAAUGAUUGAUAGGGACAGUUGGGGCGGUCUGUAUUCCAAAGCGAGAGGUGAAAUUCUUAGACCUUCGGAAGACAAACAGCUGCGAAAGCGUUCCGCAAGGAUGUUCCCUUUGAUCAAGAACGAAAGUUGGGGGAUCGAAGACGAUCAGAUACCGUCGUAGUCUCAACUAUAAACUAUACCAGCUAGGGAUCGGCCAACGUUAUUUAAACCGACUUGGUCGGCACCUUAUGAGAAAUCAAAGCAUCUGGGUUCCGGGGGGAGUAUGGUCGCAAGGCUGAAACUUAAAGGAAUUGACGGAAGGGCACCACCAGCCGUGGAGCCUGUGGCUUAAUUUGACUCAACACGGGAAAACUUACCAGGUCCAGACAUAGUAAGGAUUGACAGAUUGAUAGCUCUUUCUUGAUUCUGUGGGUGGUGGUGCAUGGCCGUUCUUAGUUGGUGGAGUGAUUUGUCCGGUUAAUUCCGUUAACGAACGAGACCCCAGCCUGCUAAAUAGCGCGCGUGAGCUUUGCUCGCGGCGAGCUUCUUAGAGGGACUAUGAUGCGCGAUAGCACAUGGAAGUUUGGGGCAAUAACAGGUCUGUGAUGCCCUUAGAUGUUCUGGGCCGCACACGGGCUACACUGGCGCCUGCAACGAGCAUAUCAGCUGGCCCGAGAGGGUCUUGGCUAAUCUUUUGAACCGGCGCCGUGCUUGGGAUUGACCUUUGCAAUUGUUGGUCAUGCAACGAGGAAUGCCUUGUAAACGCGAGUCAUCAGCUCGCAUUGAAUACGUCCCUGCCCUUUGUACACACCGCCCGUCGCUCCUACCGAUGAAUGUUCCGAUGAAAUUUUCGGAGAGUGCCUGUGAACUUGGCUCUGCCUUGCGAACGGGAAGCUCAAAGUCACUUAAAUCUGAACAUUUC